rnacentral:rRNA from 1 species
GAAACGGGUGCGGAACACGUACACAACCUUCCUUCAAAUGGGGAAUAGCCCAGGGAAACUUGGAUUAAUACCCCGUAAUAUUAUGAAGUGGCAUCACUUUAUAAUUAUAGCUCCGGCGUUUGGAGAUGGGUGUGCGGCUGAUUAGGUAGUUGGCGGGGUAACGGCCCACCAAGCCUGCGAUCAGUAACUGGUGUGAGAGCACGACCAGUCACACGGGCACUGAGACACGGGCCCG